AGCAGAACUCACGAGCCAUGAGAUCAUGCAUGACCUGAGCAGAAAUCAAGAGUCGGACGGUCAACCGACUGAGCCACCCAGGCGCCCCGAAUGGCUCUUAUGUGAAUAGACACAGGUUAAUACCUGCUGCUGUGCGUUGCUCCCUUGGGGAAGCAUAGUUGAAAAACCAGAAAUCUGGGCACAGCCACCAGCCAGUGGGAAAGUCCCUUACCCUCCCUGAGAUUCUUAUCUCUUCAGAGAUGCCACAUUCCUUCUUCACCACAGAUCUUUCUAGUGCUGCUCUGCAGGAACAGGGUUUCAGGCUGCGGCCAGGGGUUAAAAGGCAUGGCCCUUCGCAGGCUCCCUUCUCCGGCUCUCCGAUGUCUAGCCCCUGGCUGGCCACCGAGUAUCAGACGAGGAAUCCGACUUAAGGUUGUUGGGGGAACAAGGCAAACAGAGGCUUGGAUGGCUCCGAGAUCUGCGUGGCGCCUCUUUGGAAGUCGCUUAACUGGGGAGGGAGAGGGAUUCUGAAACUUGGAGCGAGGCUGUUCGUCCGGCCAACGCCACUUCCCAAAAGCCUGGAAUCUAAGACACCCACGCAGGGUGCAGACAACACGCUCGGCCUCCCACUUGACUCCGGAUGCCACUUACGUGUCGCGCCUCCCCUGAACUGGGCACCCCGGAUCUCCGUCUUCUUGCCUUUCCUGGCCUCCUCACGUGCUCUCCACGGGCACCCCUGCACUCCCGUUACCCAAAGGCCCGGGGCUCCGCAGCCCCUCUUCCUGGUCUGCUGCCCGGUAAGCUGUCUGCCGCGCGGCCACUGGACGUCUCCCCUCCGAGGUCCCACGGCCACGUCCACCCACCGUGUCUCAUCUGCGCACCCCACCCUCACUCCCGACUGCUCUCUCUCUCCGGGGUCCCUUUCGUGGUGACUGGCAGCGGGACUCGUCACCAAGGCUACCCGGGGAGGCUUCCUGGACGCGUCCCGGCAGCUCUCUGCUCACACCCCGCCGACAAUUUGCCCAUGACUUUGCCUUUCCACGUAUCGCUCCCGUCCGUGCCUUCCUCAGAGCACCGCUUCCUUUUUCAAGCCAACUUUUCUGUGGUGGGGUUCCCCGUCAUAAAAAAAACCCAAGCCCUUCAUGGUGACCUGCGAGGCCUGGCUGCCUUUCCAGUCUCUGGCCACUCCAGCCAUCUUCGUCCCCGUCCUCCAGCCACCUUGAACUGCUGGCGGUUUGGCCCAUGGUUCACAGGGCCUCCACUCUUCUGCAGGUGCACCUUGCCCCCAUUGGCUUCCUCUCCUCGGGACUCCUCCCCCUCCGCCAACCCAGCCUCCUCGCCUGCCUGGCUCCCUCCUUCUCACUCUUCGGGAGUUCAAGGGGUAGCAUUUUCUCCUCUCUCUGGAGGCUUCCUUGGCCCUCUCAUCUAGCUCCGUGGCUCCUCCUAGGGGUUUCGAUGGCAUCCCGCAGUGACCUUUACUGCAGCCUUAAUGACACCAUUUAAGGUGCUUCUCCAGAGGGGGGCAAGGUGAUUAUCUAGUGCCUGGCUCUCCAUAUGUGGGAUAAAUAAACACAUUUUACAAGUCAAAGAGAGAAACUUGCUCCGAGUUUUCUCAGAGUGGCAGUGGGAAUCUCAGAGUUUCAUCGUAUCCCGCCAUAUUCACGCGACUUGCAGCAGGUACAAAUCCCGGUGGCCGUCCCCAGGUUCCAGCAAAUCCUCAUGACUAGCUGAGUUCUUCCACUUCCUUGUGCCACCUGUCACCAGCUCCCCCACUUAGCCAGGAGGAGCUGACCGACUGGCUGCCAUCCAGGAGCUGGUGACUGACAGGUAACCUGGGCAUCUUUGCUAAGUUUAAGAGAAAUGAGGUAGAUGGCAGAGGGUCAGCUGUCCGGGUACUGGGAGUCAAAGCUGAUGCCUUCCCCUCGUAUAUUCAUCUGUGCCUCCAGCAGAAGCAGCUUGCAAGAAAAAAGAGAACGGUGGCAUGGGGUGAGGCCGAGAAGCCGGCCAUGAUGGCGAUGGAAGGCAGUGAGGAGAAUUGCAAAGGACAUUUCAGAAACCGUGUCUGAAGUCUCAAGUGCACGAGUACAGUCAGCUCUGUGAGCGGAAGAAAAGGGAAGGGUGUCUUACUGAGAGAUGAGAAAGUUACUGCCUUCCAGGGCGAAUGUGCAACGUGAAUUAAGAUAACAAUAUUUGACUUUAAAGUUGGUUGUUACACUAUUAAAGGAAUCCACCCACAUAAAGUAAAAGCUAAGUUAUGUCUCAAAUCAUAAAAGUGCUUUUUAAUUUAAAAAAGAUUGUCACAAUGUGUUCC